UGUACGUAUUUGAAACAUACAGUUGCAUAAGGCACGACUAUUACACUUGCGACAUUUGUCGGUCGCAGCUGAACACACCUCUGUGUGGUAUUUCGGGUUACACUCUUUUGGGAACUGAGCGACAGGCGACACAAUAGUUGCGCAUUCUGCGUCAGGUUUCAGAUUCACUAAAGAAUAAAGGAUCUUCACUACUGGACGUGUUCAAUUCGCGUCUCCUCUCGAUCUAAGCAUAUUCCUAUGCAUAGCAGCUUGUUCGGUUGCAGGUCAAACUCAGUUCCUCUACACUCGCUAUCAUGGUGGAGAAGGCUGGGUAGAUGGAGGAGCGCGUGCGAGGCGCGCCGCCUGCAGUGUCGUCACCAUUGGCCGCUGGGUGUCUCCCUCCAGAGCAGCGCACAUGACACUUGAACGCCUCUAUCGUUGCUGUAAAUGUGGAUUUGUGCCCGUAUUAGAGUAACUAUGCCUCGUCAUCCAAAGUCACGGACCCCUCGGUAAUUGCUUACGCGAAGUGCCACGCGCGUCCCAGAUUCAGCCCCGCGCGUCCGGACCGGCGGCAUUCUUCAUCCUCCUACUUUCGAUGCUCGACUCUGGGCUUUUCAGCUUCCGAGGUGCCGACUGAAGCAGAGAUGGCUUCGCCCCACGAGAAGACGCGCCAGGUGAUGACCCGGCUCCUGGGGAGGCCCGGCAACGGACAGUGUGUCGACUGCGGCUCCGCAGACCCCGAGUGGGCGUCCUACACCUUGGGCGUGUUCAUGUGUCACGGCUGCUCCGGCCACCACAGGACCAUUGCCCAGAUCAGCAAGGUCAAGUCCAUCCUGCUGGAUCCGUGGCGAGCGGCCGAGCUGCAGGUCAUGGAAUCGGUUGGUAACAAUGCUGCCAAAGCCAAAUAUGAAGCGCUCGUUCCUGAUUUCUUCUACCGGCCCACAAACAAAGACUGCGCGCUCCUGCGGGAACAGUGGAUCCGAGCCAAGUACGAGAGGAAGGAGUUCAUGUGUGUGGAGAAGCAGGAGUCGUACUCGGCAGGCUACAGAGAAGGCUUCCUGUGGAAACGGGGCCGGGACAACGGCCAGUACCUGCACCGGAGGUUCAUCCUGUCCGAACGGGAGCGGGUCCUCAAGUACUUCAACAAACCCGAUGCCCGAGAGCCCAAAGCUGUGAUAAAAAUCGACAGCGUGAACGCCAUGUUCCAGCCAACUAAGACCGGCAUCGCCCACGGCCUGCAAAUAACCUACCUGAAGGACAACAGCACCAGGAAUCUCUUCGUUUACCAUGAGGACGGCAAGGAAAUGGUGGACUGGUUCAACGCCAUCAGGGCGGCGCGGCUGCACUACCUGCAGGUGGCCUUUCCUGGAGCUCCCAUCCCUGAACUGUUGCCGACAUUAACCAGGAACUUCCUGAAGGAGGGCUACAUGGAAAAGACAGGUCCCAAGCACACGGAGAGCUUCAAGAAGAGGUGGUUCACGCUGGACGACAGGAGGCUCAUGUACUUUAAGGACCCACUGGAUGCCUUCGCGCGAGGCGAGGCGUUCAUCGGCAGCAAGGAGAACAGCUACGUGGUCCUCUCCGGCCUCCCCCCCGGCCUCCAGGGCAACCACUGGCCGUUCGGCAUCACCAUAGUGACCCCGAGCAGGAAGUUCCCCCUGGUGUGCGAGUCUCGGGAGGACCAGGAGGAAUGGAUUGCUGUGUUCCAGAGCGUCAUCAACCGCCCGAUGCUGCCUCACGAGUACGCAGUGGAAGCCAAUUUCAAGCACAAACCGUGACGGUCCUAGCGGGAGCCGCGUGAGCAGGAGGAGGAAGAUCUGACACGCACUUGAUGUCGCAUCACGGCAGUAUAAACGCGGGCCCCUUCAGAAAGGAACCCAAAGUUUACAUCACGUCAGUUCAUGUGACUUAUGUACUUGAAGGUCCACAGCUGAAUGAUGAAAACGCUUUAGACUGAGUUUAUGCUGGUGAGCUUUACUGGCUGGAGGAGCCUGAGCUGCUGAACCAUGGACACAAGCAUCACUACGCUUCUAGUAAGUGAUCAUUUAUCCAGAUGUUGACCAGGAAAAUACAAACAAAAUGAUGGAUGUGGUUGUUGUUAUGGAACCAGCGCUCUGUUCGUCUGAAGCCAUGACCUGGGGCUACAUUCACAGCUGCAGAAGGCGGACGGACGGGUGAAGAGCAAACAGUACCGGGUUUCAGCCUCGCUCGGACCGGACUCCUCGCCUGUGAGGGUGGACUGUAUGAGGAUGAGCGGAACCGCGUGCGCGGGAGCGGGCCUCAGGCCCGACAGCAGCCGGCACCCUUCAUCUCCUUGUUCACGUACUCCUGCAGCUGGAACUUCUCGCUCGGCUCCUUGGUGGACCUGUGCUUCAGCUCCCUGAGGCAGCAGGGAGACAUGCAUGUUGCUGAGAUUCACAAUAACCUGACUCUCCCAUAGAAACGUUGACUCAAGGCUAAAACAAAGAGCAGCAACUUAGACUCAUUUAUUAUGAGUACGUUUGAAGGUUAAUAGCAGGACGUAUGAGUUAUGCAUGAGUGCGAUGGAGAAACCUCCCAUGCACAUGCACGAGGGCAGCUUCUAAAUGCAGGAUGAGCCUUUACUUCCCCAGACGGACACAUUUAAAUAUUUACAUAUUUAUAUAUGAAGUGUCUCGUCUCGUCAGUCGCUGGACGUGGAGCGGAUAAAAGAAAGCAGCGGUCAAUUAGACCAAAGCAGAGGACGUGACACUCACUUGGCCACGGCGGUGAAAGCCAGCUCCACGUUGAGACCCGACCUGGCGCUGGUCUCCAUGAAGGGAACGCCAAAUUCCUGGUAAAAUCCAAACGUAGCAUUUUAUAGGUAGAUUUAACAGAUUCGAGCUUCUGCUGCACCGUGGCCACAGCUCAGCUCUCCUGGUUGCUCUCACAGAGACUGAUGUGGCUCCUCCGGCUGCCUCAGUGGGUUUGUUUGCAGCGGGUUUAAAACUGACACCAACCAAAGGCCAGAAUGGCUGAAUCACAAAGCACGGAAAGGAGCCACACGAGUCACCGCUCAGCCUCGGACCCGGGUUCCUCUCACCUUAGCGAGCCUCUCGCCGUCUUCCCUCCUCACCACCCGGUCGUGCGUGGCGUCGGCCUGGGAGACAGGGGACGAGGUCACCGUCUGUUUAACACACGCGCCCCUCUGACGGCAGCUAACGAGUCAUGAUUGAGUCUCACGGUGCUAAUUGAGGGCUGAACCAGACAGAGCUCAGAGCAGAAGACAUCUGCUAUCGGUUCGAAUGGAGCCUUGUGAUUGUGGAGGAACAUUAGACUGACAGUUACAGCACAAACCAUGGGGGUGAAGUGUUUGUCCCUCAGAAUGUCUGAAUUUGUUCUUGUGUGCGUUUAUCUUCCGACUUGCCUUGUUUCCAAGCAGCAUCAGCACCACGUCCUGCUGGGCGUACUCGUGGAUCUCUGUGAGCCAGGCCUGAAGCAACAGGAGAGCAGCCGUUAGACUGUAGGAGGAGAAACACCGGAGACAGGACACGGGACGGACCAGGACACGGACACGCGUUCUGGGAUAACUCAUCGGGUCGGACGCUCCGAACUGUUGAUGUUCCUGCACGUCAUCUCCACUGGAGAAUGAAGGUCCCCUGACUGCCUCAACAAGUGCUUGGAUUGUUUAUGUGUACUUUAUAUGAGCCAAGGAUUUAAUAAAGUGGAUGCCAGUUUAA